UUCCCUCUCUUUCUGGGAAAGACUGACUGGAGAAGGUCACAGACUGGAAUUAAUUCCUGUGCCAGGUCUGGGAAAGGGGCAGGGCGUAGAGAGGCAGUCCUGAGGGACUGGAAUUCUAGCAGAGAAAGAGAGAGCUGGCAGGACCUAGGGAGAAACCAGAAAAGCAGCCAUGUUAAGUGCAGGUUGCAGGGAAACAGUAUGAGGGGCUCAGAGAUAGGAAGUGGCUCAGGAAAACAGCAGCACACCUGAAGGAGCAGGCGUAGCUGUUUAAUACGUGCCUGGAAACCAGAGUAGAGAGUGGGACUAAGUUCCCGUGCAAGCCUUGAGGAAGGGGCAUAGAAGCCCAACAGAGAGAACAGAAGGAUCUUCUGCGUUAGUAUGCCUUUGGACUUAAGCUGUAUUUUUGUUAGUUGGGGAAAUAAAUUGUGACGUGACUAGAGGGCCAAGUCACCAAAAGAGGCAGAUCACUGUGGUACCAGAGUGACCUAUGGCAGAGUGCACUCCACAGGAGAAAACUACUACGCCAUGCCCAACCACAAAAGGGUGCUUUGUUGGCACUUCUGCUUUUGGCUACUGUCAGGUGACUGAACUAGAUAGACCUCUGGUCUGAUCCAAUAAGACCCAGCCUUAUGUGCACUGGGCAACCUGCUGCUGCUAUGGGCUGACAUCUUUUCUUUGUCCAUUGGAUCCCAGCUUCUCUACUCCCCAGCCCAGAACAGCCAUUUGGGAUAUUGUCCCCUGUCACAGCCCCAGGGAUGUGAAGAAGGAAGGAGAGAAGACAGGACAUACAGGAAACCACCGUUUGUGAGCAGCUUCAGGAUUCACAUCUCCUGCACUGGAGGGAGAGCUCAGGAGUCCCUGUUGAAAUGGCACCGCUCCACUGGGAGGGCAAUCUAGUGUGAUUUCUCUGCUGGUGGUGAAGUUGAUCUUAAAACAGGACUGCUAAACUCAUUUAGUUGGAGAGUUGUAACUAAGGUCCAUGAGCCAGGGUAUACAUUUCAGGACUACAUACUCCCCUUGAUUCACACCAGAACUCCCACUGACAUCAGUAGGAGGUUUGCACUAAUAUCGCUGGAAGAACAGGGUCUGUAUUUGGUAACUAAACUUUAAUUUAUUGUCCCUGCCAGAGAUGGUAUGCUUGGGGCUAAUAAAAAUACUUCUGAAGAGCCUUUGGGAUGCACACAAUUAUCCCAAACAUCAGGUGUUUAAAAAAAAUCCAACUUCUUGUGUUAGAACCCUGCAGAACCCCCCACCGCAAUGUCUGCCCAACUUCUUCAAAUUAGACUCAGUAUAUUUUUCAGGGACAAAGUAUGAACACUUCCAAAUAGUUUGCUCAAUGUUCUUGUUCCAAGUGGAGUGGUUUCCUGCAUUGGUUAUGGACAGAAAAAGUGCUGAAAUGGGAAAACAAUUUUUAGAUUCCCCAGUCCCUUCCCCCUCAGUAUCAUGAGGCAGUUUACGGUGGCUUCUGUUAGACAGAGACACACACACACACACACACACACACACACACACACACUGUGCCUACUCUGGAGACUUGGUUUUGUUCGUUCUUAUGCUUACUCCAUAAAUAAUUCUGAGAGUUGAAUUUGGGAACCAAAGUGAGGAUAUUGGCAGGCAGAGGGGAAGGUAGUUCUUGUGCUACGAAACGUGUGUGAGUGGUGAGGAGUUAGAGGGAGGGAUAGCGAGGUAGUGCCUGCAUCUUUGAGGGGUUAGGAGAGAGUGAUGGGCGGUGGGUGGAGAAGUAUAUAAGUCAGGAAUGACUGCUUUCCAACAUACACGAGUGUUUCUCCCUCUUCAGCUACAGUACUUGCACUCUUUCCACUAAGCUGCCCCUACUGCCUCAGCUCACCCAUUCCCAAACCCCAACCUGGGCCCCCACUGUUUCGCACUGGACCCUUCCUCUUGAAUCCAUUCCUGCUCUCAUUUCAUGGAAGAGGUUUGGGAGGUAGGCAAAGGUGAUGGCAGACACAAUGCAGAGAACAAGAUUGCUCCAAAUGCAUAGGCAAUGGAGAUCUGUGCCCUAAAGCUUAGCAUUGUUCCUGUUGUAAAUUCACAAGGAAUCCAUCACAACUUGAAGCAGUCUGCUGUAGGGACACUAUUACUACAUAUGUGAUAGUCUGCUCUCUUAACUAAACACACGAGGUGGUCAAAAGGUCUAAAGAUCUUGGCUAUAGAUUUCAAUAAAAUACAUAGGUUAAAAAAGCAAAUUUUAUAUGCUUUUGGACAGACAAACCAGAACAUUAAUUUGUAGCUUUACCAUGGAAACAUCAAAGCUAAGCUCUCUGGUAUUCUAAGAAAUACUCUUUAAAUAGCAUAUUGUGUCAUUAAGAAAAAAUAUUUCCCAGGGCAGAAUGAAACAAUGAAUUAAUUUGCUGCGAGUGCCCUAGACCCAUCAGGGAAGCUUAUGUGUUUUUCAAUUGUCUGAAUUACCAUUCUUAUCUAAACUGAUCUAUUGAUCAGUAAUGAUCUAAAAACCCUCAGGGCAUGACUGAUGAGUGAGAAAAAUCCAAUAAGCUCUCUUCCAUACUAGAAUACAAAUAAGUUAAAAUGCUAUUGUACCCUUCUAGAAAACCUGGGAGACACUGAAUGAAUUUGUAAACAGAUCUUCUGGAUGCCAUAGGCUGACCUUGAGCUCUGUUAGUAAUUUCUGAGAUUUGUUUGAAUAAAUGUCUUUCACUUC